rnacentral:rRNA from 1 species
GAUGAACGCUAGCUACAGGCUUAACACAUGCAAGUCGAGGGUCAGCAUUUUAGUUUGCUUGCAAACUGAAGAUGGCGACCGGCGCACGGGUGAGUAACACGUAUCCAACCUGCCGAUAACUCCGGAAUAGCCUUUCGAAAGAAAGAUUAAUACCGGAUAGCAUACGAAUAUCGCAUGAUAUUUUUAUUAAAGAAUUUCGGUUAUCGAUGGGGAUGCGUUCCAUUAGUUUGUUGGCGGGGUAACGGCCCACCAAGACAACGAUGGAUAGGGGUUCUGAGAGGAAGGUCCCCCACAUUGGAACUGAGACACGGUCCAAACUCCUACGGGAGGCAGCAGUGAGGAAUAUUGGUCAAUGGGCGAGAGCCUGAACCAGCCAAGUAGCGUGAAGGAUGAAGGCUCUAUGGGUCGUAAACUUCUUUUAUAUGGGAAUAAAGUUUUCCACGUGUGGAAUUUUGUAUGUACCAUAUGAAUAAGGAUCGGCUAACUCCGUGCCAGCAGCCGCGGUAAUACGGAGGAUCCGAGCGUUAUCCGGAUUUAUUGGGUUUAAAGGGAGCGUAGGUGGAUUGUUAAGUCAGUUGUGAAAGUUUGCGGCUCAACCGUAAAAUUGCAGUUGAAACUGGCAGUCUUGAGUACAGUAGAGGUGGGCGGAAUUCGUGGUGUAGCGGUGAAAUGCUUAGAUAUCACGAAGAACUCCGAUUGCGAAGGCAGCUCACUAGACUGUCACUGACACUGAUGCUCGAAAGUGUGGGUAUCAAACAGGAUUAGAUACCCUGGUAGUCCACACAGUAAACGAUGAAUACUCGCUGUUUGCGAUAUACAGUAAGCGGCCAAGCGAAAGCAUUAAGUAUUCCACCUGGGGAGUACGCCGGCAACGGUGAAACUCAAAGGAAUUGACGGGGGCCCGCACAAGCGGAGGAACAUGUGGUUUAAUUCGAUGAUACGCGAGGAACCUUACCCGGGCUUAAAUUGCAACAGAAUAUAUUGGAAACAGUAUAGCCGUAAGGCUGUUGUGAAGGUGCUGCAUGGUUGUCGUCAGCUCGUGCCGUGAGGUGUCGGCUUAAGUGCCAUAACGAGCGCAACCCUUAUCUUUAGUUACUAACAGGUGAUGCUGAGGACUCUAGAGAGACUGCCGUCGUAAGAUGUGAGGAAGGUGGGGAUGACGUCAAAUCAGCACGGCCCUUACGUCCGGGGCUACACACGUGUUACAAUGGGGGGUACAGAAGGCGGCUACCUGGUGACAGGAUGCUAAUCCCAAAAACCUCUCUCAGUUCGGAUCGAAGUCUGCAACCCGACUUCGUGAAGCUGGAUUCGCUAGUAAUCGCGCAUCAGCCAUGGCGCGGUGAAUACGUUCCCGGGCCUUGUACACACCGCCCGUCAAGCCAUGAAAGCCGGGGGUACCUGAAGUACGUAACCGCAAGGAG